rnacentral:lncRNA from 1 species
GGAGAUAUCAAAGAGUUGGGUAUUCUAAUACUAGGAGGCAGCGUCCGUUCUGCCUAGAGAGCAGAUGUGACUGUUUAGAACUCUUUGUUGAGCGAAUAAACUGGGGAGAAGGGCAAGGUUAAGUCCGACGCAUUUUCAGAUCCGCCACCAUUUACCUUAGGACCUGGAGAAAAGACUGUUUCAGUUAGCUAGCUUGAAGGCCUGCUUGGGAAGCAAGAUAGACAAGGAUUUUUUUUCCCCAUCCUCUAGCCUCACGCCUUAUUUUUCUUUCACAAUUCUGGCCAAAGAAAGCAGUAACUCAUAAUCAGAAGAGAAUUUAUCAUGAAGUUAAUUAAGCUGUGUACCUAAUUUUGUAUCUGUCAUCGUGUAUUCUUAAAAGAAGACUCCGACAUUGUAUAAGUUCUGGAUCUGAACAAAACCUGGAUAAACUCUGGUGCUUUAUUAACUUGAUGAAGAUUAGUGACACUGAGGAAUACUGAGGAACCAGGCUCUAUUCCACCCCAUCCCCUUCAUACACACCUCAUUCCAAAUGCUAUCCUGUCACAGCAGAUGCCACAUCACUUUUGGGGUGGGCUAAGAGAUCAAGACACUCCCUGUAGGGCAAGCUUAUCUGUGUGCUUACUUGGAAGCUCUUGCUUACUUAGAAGCUCCAGAGCCAGACGUCUCUUCGACCAGGAGACUGCCUCGAGAGAUAACAAAUUAUAACCUAAAGUAUGCCCAUGAUGAAACUCACUCCCACUUGGAGAGUAUCUCAAGACUCUGGCCACCUUACCACCUAGUUCUGCCCGCGAGGGCACCAGCUCAACCACCUGGUAGAUAAAGCACCAAAGCAAGUCAUUGAGACCCCCACUGGCUCACCCCCUCCCCUGCAUGCCAUUCAUGUCAAGUCCCCCUUUGAAAACCCUUGCUUUUUUGCCCCAAAAGUGAAGCAGUACCCUUAAAGGCAGAAGCCUG